GAUGAACGCUGGCGGCGUGCCUAAUACAUGCAAGUCGAGCGAAUGGAUUAAGAGCUUGCUCUUAUGAAGUUAGCGGCGGACGGGUGAGUAACACGUGGGUAACCUGCCCAUAAGACUGGGAUAACUCCGGGAAACCGGGGCUAAUACCGGAUAACAUUUUGAACCGCAUGGUUCGAAAUUGAAAGGCGGCUUCGGCUGUCACUUAUGGAUGGACCCGCGUCGCAUUAGCUAGUUGGUGAGGUAACGGCACACCAAGGCAACGAUGCGUAGCCCACCGGAGGGGGUAAUCGGCCACACUGGGACGGGAACACGGCCCAGACUCCUGCGGGAGGAAGCAGUAGGGAAUCUUCCGCAAUGGACGAAAGUCUGACGGAGCAACGCCGCGUGAGUGAUGAAGGCUUUCGGGUCGUAAAACUCUGUUGUUAGGGAAGAACAAGUGCUAGUUGAAUAAGCUGGCACCUUGACGGUACCUAACCAGAAAGCCACGGCUAACUACGUGCCAGCCGCCGCAGUAA
rnacentral:rRNA from 1 species